rnacentral:ncRNA from 1 species
GAAAAUCUUCGGGGCAGGGUGAAAUUCCCGAUCGGCGGUAAAGUCCGCGAACCAAUUUGGUUGAACUAGUGAAAUUCUAGUACCGACUGUAUAGUCAGGAUGAGAGAAGAAGAUA